GCAACACAACGGACUGAGGUUACGGUCCCAGGUUGGGACCUUCAGCUUGGUUACCUGGGACUUGCAGCAUUGGUCACCACCAGGGAUGGUUACUACAACUUGAUAAGAGGUUAUGACCGGUGGUGGUGUCAGCUGUUCUGGUUGUCUGCUGCUGCUGCUGCUGUUGUUGGCUGUUAAAAAUGCUUGGGAAAGUUCUAUCUAAAAUUCCCAUUGGGAGGCGACAAGCUCAACAGAUACAGCAAUGGAUACCCUCAGCAACGUUAUUUGGAGCUGGAGCCGCAGCACUUGGUCUUUAUCUUACAGACUGGAAAGUAAUCGUCCAAUAUAUUCCUUUCUAUAGUGGCAAGUUUAAAACUGACGAGUAAUCACAAUGAUUCUUCUCCUUCCUUCAGAUGCUGUUCAUCUUCUAAGCAGCAAGAAAUUACAUUAAAUAAAAAAUGAAACGACAUUUCCAUUUAAUAAUAGUUCACAUGUACAAAGUCAUCAGUAUGUUAAUAAAAAAUAAAGAAUAAUAA